rnacentral:rRNA from 1 species
GAGUUUGAUCGUGGCUCAGGACGAACGCUGGCGGCGUGCCUAAUACAUGCAAGUCGAGCGAGCGGAACCAACAGAUUUACUUCGGUAAUGACGUUGGGAAAGCGAGCGGCGGAUGGGUGAGUAACACGUGGGGAACCUGCCCCUAAGUCUGGGAUACCAUUUGGAAACAGGUGCUAAUACCGGAUAAUAAAGCAGAUCGCAUGAUCAGCUUUUGAAAGGCGGCGUAAGCUGUCGCUAAGGGAUGGCCCCCGCGGUGCAUUAGCUAGUUGGUAAGGUAACGGCUUACCAAGGCGACGAUGCAUAGCCGAGUUGAGAGACUGAUCGGCCACAUUGGGACUGAGACACGGCCCAAACUCCUACGGGAGGCAGCAGUAGGGAAUCUUCCACAAUGGACGCAAGUCUGAUGGAGCAACGCCGCGUGAGUGAAG